rnacentral:rRNA from 1 species
GACGAACGCUGGCGGCGUGCUUAACACAUGCAAGUCGAACGAUGAAGCCGGAGCUUGCUCUGGUGAAUUAGUGGCGAACGGGUGAGUAACACGUGAGUAACCUGCCCUUGACUCUGGGAUAACUGCGGGAAACUGUAGCUAAUACCGGAUACGACCCUCGGAGGCAUCUCCUGGGGGUGGAAAGAAUUUCGGUCAAGGAUGGACUCGCGGCCUAACAGCUAGUUGGUGAGGUAAAGGCUCACCAAGGCGACGACGGGUAGCCGGCCUGAGAGGGUGACCGGCCACACUGGGACUGAGACACGGCCCAGACUCCUACGGGAGGCAGCAGUGGGGAAUAUUGCACAGUGGGCGCAAGCCUGAUGCAGCAACGCCGCGUGAGGGAUGACGGCCUUCGGGUUGUAAACCUCUUUUAGCAGGGAAGAAGCGAAAGUGACGGUACCUGCAGAAAAAGCACCGGCUAACUACGUGCCAGCAGCCGCAGUAA